UACGAAGGGUGCAAGCGUUACUCGGAAUUACUGGGCGUAAAGCGUGCGUAGGUGGUGAGUUAAGUCUGUCGUGAAAGCCCCGGGCUCAACCUGGGAAUGGCGAUGGAUACUGGCUCGCUAGAGUGCGGUAGAGGAGAGUGGAAUUCCCGGUGUAGCAGUGAAAUGCGCAGAGAUCGGGAGGAACACCCGUAGCGAAGGCGGCACUCUGGGCCGGUACUGACGCUGAGGAGCGAAAGCGUGGGGAGCAAACAGG
rnacentral:rRNA from 1 species